UGCUUACAGAGAAGAGUGCCACUCAGGU
rnacentral:piRNA from 1 species